AGCAUAGAGCCAGGGAGCAUGCGCAGAACCCCAAGAGCAGGGGCAUGUGGGCACCUUGAUUUCCCAGGGGAAAAAAUAUUACAGGAAGUGUGAACCAACAGCCAAAAGAAGGUAAGAGUCAGAGGCCUAGGUGGACAAAAGGACGCGGUGAAGAAGAAGAUAAUCUGGGGAGGUGCAGAAAAACUGAGAGGAACCGGCAGAUGCAGACAGAGGAAGAAAGCCACGUCUGUGCAGCGAAAGGGACCUGCCUAAAAUCCAGAUGCUGACUGAGAAAGUCUGGGGCGGGGCUGGAAAUUCCAAAAUCAUAACAAGCUCUCAGCCAAAGGAUGCUGGUGGCAUCAGCGAGGAAGGCAAACCCCGUGACCGUAAGAGCUGAACAAGGAGGCGGGAGCCAUCUCUGCUGGCCAGGGUGAUCGGUGCAUUCAGGGCCACAGUUUCCAUUAUCUUCAUGAGCAGUAGCUGGAAUGAAGGAGAAAUGGAAAGUGGGAAUGAAGACAGGAUGCUGAGCUUCAGAUACUUAAAUAAACUCAAGAACAGGAGGACUGAAAGCCAAGAUUUCAACUGCAAGAGCCGGGCCAUUAAGAGAGGAAAGGGUUUCCUAAAUUCGCAUACAUUUCUUUUAAAUACAAUAAUCUUAGAGGACAAGCAUGGGGUUUUCACCACACACCAUAGUGUAGAGAAGGAUUCACAAAUGACCCAAGAGCAGUUCCCUGUCCCCCAGCAAGGUGAACAGCCCUUCUUGGGCUGGGAUGUGGGGGGCAGAGAUGAGAGACAUUUUCAGUUAAUGAGAUUAUUAGAUUAAGACACUAUACCUAGAGUGCAGGAGAGAUUAUGGACAUUUCAGAUGGUCCAAAGAAGAAUCUGAAAGCUUGUGCUCCACUUUCUGUUUAGAAUUCCAGGCAGAGACUGCCUUGCAAGGUGAUCUACACCCAUGCUGGGGGGCUUCAGUAGAGGAGAAAUGAUGGUGUGAAACGUUUAGAUAUGGAGGGAAUCUGAGAUGCCAUAGAGGAGGUUCCCUGGGUUUCUGUGUGGCUUGGGUGAGAUCUAGAACUUUCUG
rnacentral:lncRNA from 1 species